AUUGAACGCUGGCGGCAGGCCUAACACAUGCAAGUCGAGCGGAGCGGCGGACGGGUGAGUAAUGCCUAGGAAUCUGCCUGGUAGUGGGGGCUAACGUCCGGAAACGGGCGCUAAUACCGCAUAAGAUUGAAUGAGCCGAUGUCGGAUUAGCUAGUUGGCGGGGGAAAGGCCCACCAAGGCGACGAUCCGUAGCUGGUCUGAGAGGAUGAUCAGCCACACGGGAACUGAGACACGGUCCACAUUCCUACGGGAGGCAGCAGGGGGGAAUAUUGGACAAUGGGCGAAAGCCUGAUCCAGCCAUGCCGCGUGUUUGAAGAAGGUCUUCGGAUUGUAAAGCACUUUAAGUUGGGUGGCGUUACCAACAGAAUAAGCACCGGCUAACUUCGUGCCAGCAGCCGCGGUAAUUC
rnacentral:rRNA from 1 species